rnacentral:rRNA from 1 species
ACCGGCUUUUUGGGAUUCGCUCCACCUUACGGUAUCGCAGCCCUCUGUACCGGCCAUUGUAGCAUGCGUGAAGCCCAAGACAUAAGGGGCAUGAUGAUUUGACGUCAUCCCCACCUUCCUCCGAGUUGACCCCGGCAGUCUCCCAUGAGUCCCCGGCAUAACCCGCUGGCAACAUAGGACGAGGGUUGCGCUCGUUGCGGGACUUAACCCAACAUCUCACGACACGAGCUGACGACAACCAUGCACCACCUGUGUACGAGUGUCCAAAGAGAACCCCGUCUCGGGGGCUUUCUCGUACAUGUCAAGCCUUGGUAAGGUUCUUCGCGUUGCAUCGAAUUAAUCCGCAUGCUCCGCCGCUUGUGCGGACCCCCGUCAAUUCCUUUGAGUUUUAGCCUUGCGGCCGUACUCCCCAGGCGGGGCACUUAAUGCGUUAGCUGCGGCACGGAACUCGUGGAAUGAGCCCCACACCUAGUGCCCAACGUUUACGGCAUGGACUACCAGGGUAUCUAAUCCUGUUCGCUCCCCAUGCUUUCGCUCCUCAGCGUCAGUUGCGGCCCAGAGACCUGCCUUCGCCAUCGGUGUUCCUCCUGAUAUCUGCGCAUUCCACCGCUACACCAGGAAUUCCAGUCUCCCCUACCGCACUCUAGUCUGCCCGUACCCGAUGCAAGCCCGAGGUUGAGCCUCGGGAUUUCACACCAGACGCGACAGACCGCCUACGAGCUCUUUACGCCCAAUAAUUCCGGACAACGCUUGCGCCCUACGUAUUACCGCGGCUGCUGGCACGUAGUUAGCCGGCGCUUCUUCUGCAGGUACCGUCACUUGCGCUUCUUCCCUGCUGAAAGAGGUUUACAACCCGAAGGCCGUCAUCCCUCACGCGGCGUCGCUGCAUCAGGCUUGCGCCCAUUGUGCAAUAUUCCCCACUGCUGCCUCCCGUAGGAGUCUGGGCCGUGUCUCAGUCCCAGUGUGGCCGGUCGCCCUCUCAGGCCGGCUACCCGUCGACGCCUUGGUAGGCCAUCACCCCACCAACAAGCUGAUAGGCCGCGAGCCCAUCCCCCACCGAAAAACUUUCCAACCCACACCAUGCGAUGCGAGCUCAUAUCCGGUAUUAGACCCCGUUUCCAAGGCUUAUCCCGAAGUGGAGGGCAGGUUGCUCACGUGUUACUCACCCGUUCGCCACUGAUCCACCCAGCAAGCUGGGCUUCACCGUUCGACUGCA